rnacentral:rRNA from 1 species
UACCAGGCACCCCGAGUGGUCGGGACGUUUAUUGGGCCUAAAGCAUCCGUAGCCGGUUCUACAAGUCUUCCGUUAAAUCCAACUGCUUAACAGGUGGGCUGCGGAAGAUACUAUAGAGCUAGGAGGCGGGAGAGGCAAGCGGUACUCGAUGGGUAGGGGUAAAAUCCGUUGAUCCAUUGAAGACCACCAGUGGCGGAAGGCGGCUUGCCAGAACGCGCUCGACGGUGAGGGAUGAAAGCUGGGGGAG